rnacentral:rRNA from 1 species
GGGUGGUAAUGCCGGAUGUUCCAGUUGAUCGCAUGGUCUUCUGGGAAAGCUUUCGCGGUAUGGGAUGGGGUCGCGUCCUAUCAGCUUGACGGCGGGGUAACGGCCCACCGUGGCUUCGACGGGUAGCCGGCCUGAGAGGGCGACCGGCCACAUUGGGACUGAGAUACGGCCCAGACUCCUACGGGAGGCAGCAGUGGGGAAUAUUGCACAAUGGGCGCAAGCCUGAUGCAGCGACGCCGCGUGAGGGAUGGAGGCCUUCGGGUUGUAAACCUCUUUUAUCGGGGAGCAAGCGAGAGUGAGUUUACCCGUUGAAUAAGCACCGGCUAACUACGUGCCAGCAGCCGCGGUAAUACGUAGGGUGCAAGCGUUAUCCGGAAUUAUUGGGCGUAAAGGGCUCGUAGGCGGUUCGUCGCGUCCGGUGUGAAAGUCCAUCGCUUAACGGUGGAUCCGCGCCGGGUACGGGCGGGCUUGAGUGCGGUAGGGGAGACUGGAAUUCCCGGUGUAACGGUGGAAUGUGUAGAUA